rnacentral:lncRNA from 1 species
GAGGCAAUUCAGUAAGCAGCACCCUCCAUGGCCUCUGCAUCAGUUCCUGCCUCCAGUUUCUGCUCUGUCCCAUCACAUUAUGAACCCCUCCGUUGAUUCAUCCAAUGAAGAAGUCACAGUUCCCAGGGGUCAAUUCCUUCCUCAAUCCUCCCUUCUGAAUGCUGAACUGGGUUAUGACUAGAAGCUGUUGGAGCUGUUGGAAGGGCUGAGAUUGCCAGGGUGCAGAAGAGAGUCAGUCACCAUUUUCAGUUCAAAAUCCUGGUUGCUAGAGCAAGACUCACAAAGCUCCAAGUGCUCCGGGUUCCUGGGGAGAUAUCAUCUUUGUGUGAAGUUGUGUGGGAAGAAGAGAGAAAGAUCUCCCUCUGAAAGCUUCAUACUGUCUCUCUGAUGUGGUACUCACUGGACUGCCCCAGGAGGAUAUGCGGAGCACUUUUGCUGUAUCAGCUCAGAGGCUGCCACAUAAUCCAGGCUCAUCUUGUAACCUUGAACAGUAUUUUUUCAAUUAAUUCUGUCUUGGAUCUGAGGAAGAAAGUGGAAAGGAUAAAGACUAUGGGAAUAGAGAAUAGAGAUGGCGAUAUAGGGCAGGGAGAAGGACACACACAAAUACACAAACAAGAGAGAGAGAGGGAAAGAUAGGUAGAUGGGGGAGGGGAGAGAGAGAGAGAGAGAGAGAGAGAGAGAGAGAGAG